GGGUUGUGAGGUUAAGCGACUAAGCGUACACGGUGGAUGCCCUGGCAGUCAGAGGCGAUGAAGGACGUGCUAAUCUGCGAAAAGCGUCGGUAAGGUGAUAUGAACCGUUAUAGCCGGCGAUGUCCGAAUGGGGAAACCCAGUGUGAUUCGUCACACUAUCGUUAACUGAAUACAUAGGUUAACGAGGCGAACCGGGGGAACUGAAACAUCUAAGUACCCCGAGGAAAAGAAAUCAACCGAGAUUCCCCCAGUAGCGGCGAGCGAACGGGGAGCAGCCCAGAGUCUGAAUCAGCUUGUGUGUUAGUGGAACGGUCUGGAAAGUCCGACGGUACAGGGUGAUAGUCCCGUACACCAAAAUGCACAGGCUGUGAACUCGAAGAGUAGGGCGGGACACGUGGUAUCCUGUCUGAAUAUGGGGGGACCAUCCUCCAAGGCUAAAUACUCCUGACUGACCGAUAGUGAACCAGUACCGUGAGGGAAAGGCGAAAAGAACCCCGGCGAGGGGAGUGAAAAAGAACCUGAAACCGUGUACGUACAAGCAGUGGGAGCACCUUCGGGUGUGACUGCGUACCUUUUGUAUAAUGGGUCAGCGACUUAUAUUCUGUAGCAAGGUUAACCGUAUAGGGGAGCCGCAGGGAAACCGAGUCUUAACUGGGCGUUAAGUUGCAGGGUAUAGACCCGAAACCCGGUGAUCUAGCCAUGGGCAGGUUGAAGGUUGGGUAACACUAACUGGAGGACCGAACCGACUAAUGUUGAAAAAUUAGCGGAUGACUUGUGGCUGGGGGUGAAAGGCCAAUCAAACCGGGAGAUAGCUGGUUCUCCCCGAAAGCUAUUUAGGUAGCGCCUCGUGAACUCAUCUUCGGGGGUAGAGCACUGUUUCGGCUAGGGGGUCAUCCCGACUUACCAACCCGAUGCAAACUACGAAUACCGAAGAAUGUUAUCACGGGAGACACACGGCGGGUGCUAACGUCCGUCGUGAAGAGGGAAACAACCCAGACCGCCAGCUAAGGUCCCAAAGUCAUGGUUAAGUGGGAAACGAUGUGGGAAGGCACAGACAGCCAGGAUGUUGGCUUAGAAGCAGCCAUCAUUUAAAGAAAGCGUAAUAGCUCACUGGUCGAGUCGGCCUGCGCGGAAGAUGUAACGGGGCUAAACCAUGCACCGAAGCUGCGGCAGCGACACUAUGUGUUGUUGGGUAGGGGAGCGUUCUGUAAGCCUGCGAAGGUGUGCUGUGAGGCAUGCUGGAGGUAUCAGAAGUGCGAAUGCUGACAUAAGUAACGAUAAAGCGGGUGAAAAGCCCGCUCGCCGGAAGACCAAGGGUUCCUGUCCAACGUUAAUCGGGGCAGGGUGAGUCGACCCCUAAGGCGAGGCCGAAAGGCGUAGUCGAUGGGAAACAGGUUAAUAUUCCUGUACUUGGUGUUACUGCGAAGGGGGGACGGAGAAGGCUAUGUUAGCCGGGCGACGGUUGUCCCGGUUUAAGCAUGUAGGCUGGUUGUCCAGGCAAAUCCGGAUAAUCAAGGCUGAGGUGUGAUGACGAGGCACUACGGUGCUGAAGUAACAAAUGCCCUGCUUCCAGGAAAAGCCUCUAAGCAUCAGGUAACAUUAAAUCGUACCCCAAACCGACACAGGUGGUCAGGUAGAGAAUACCAAGGCGCUUGAGAGAACUCGGGUGAAGGAACUAGGCAAAAUGGUGCCGUAACUUCGGGAGAAGGCACGCUGGUGUGUAGGUGAAGUCCCUGCGGAUGGAGCUGAGACCAGUCGAAGAUACCAGCUGGCUGCAACUGUUUAUUAAAAACACAGCACUGUGCAAACACGAAAGUGGACGUAUACGGUGUGACGCCUGCCCGGUGCCGGAAGGUUAAUUGAUGGGGUUAUCCGUAAGGAGAAGCUCUUGAUCGAAGCCCCGGUAAACGGCGGCCGUAACUAUAACGGUCCUAAGGUAGCGAAAUUCCUUGUCGGGUAAGUUCCGACCUGCACGAAUGGCGUAAUGAUGGCCAGGCUGUCUCCACCCGAGACUCAGUGAAAUUGAACUCGCUGUGAAGAUGCAGUGUACCCGCGGCAAGACGGAAAGACCCCGUGAACCUUUACUAUAGCUUGACACUGAACAUUGAGCCUUGAUGUGUAGGAUAGGUGGGAGGCUUUGAAGCGUGGACGCCAGUCUGCGUGGAGCCAACCUUGAAAUACCACCCUUUAAUGUUUGAUGUUCUAACGUUGGCCCCUGACCGGGGUUGCGGACAGUGUCUGGUGGGUAGUUUGACUGGGGCGGUCUCCUCCCAAAGCGUAACGGAGGAGCACGAAGGUUAGCUAAUCCUGGUCGGACAUCAGGAGGUUAGUGCAAUGGCAUAAGCUAGCUUGACUGCGAGCGUGACGGCGCGAGCAGGUGCGAAAGCAGGUCAUAGUGAUCCGGUGGUUCUGAAUGGAAGGGCCAUCGCUCAACGGAUAAAAGGUACUCCGGGGAUAACAGGCUGAUACCGCCCAAGAGUUCAUAUCGACGGCGGUGUUUGGCACCUCGAUGUCGGCUCAUCACAUCCUGGGGCUGAAGUAGGUCCCAAGGGUAUGGCUGUUCGCCAUUUAAAGUGGUACGCGAGCUGGGUUUAGAACGUCGUGAGACAGUUCGGUCCCUAUCUGCCGUGGGCGCUGGAGAAUUGAGGGGGGCUGCUCCUAGUACGAGAGGACCGGAGUGGACGCAUCACUGGUGUUCGGGUUGUCAUGCCAAUGGCACUGCCCGGUAGCUAAAUGCGGAAGAGAUAAGUGCUGAAAGCAUCUAAGCACGAAACUUGCCCCGAGAUGAGUUCUCCCUGAGACUUUAAGUCUCCUGAAGGAACGUUGAAGACGACGACGUUGAUAGGCCGGGUGUGUAAGCGCAGCGAUGCGUUGAGCUAACCGGUACUAAUGAACCGUGAGGCUUAACCUUACAACGCCGAAG
rnacentral:rRNA from 1 species